UGGCUCAGGAUGAACGCUAGCGGCAGGCCUAAUACAUGCAAGUCGAACGGUAAGACAUCCUUCGGGAUGUGAGAGUGGCCGCACGGGUGCGUAACGCGUAUGCAACCACCGCUGUCGGGGAUAGCCCGAAGAAAUUCGGAUUAAUACCCCAUGAGGAGUUUGAGCGGCAUCGCUUGAAUUUCAAACUUCGGUGACGGCGACGGGCAUGCGUGCCAUUAGAUAGUUGGCGGGGUAACGGCCCACCAAGUCGACGAUGGCUAGGGGAUCUGAGAGGACGGUCCCCCACACUGGUACUGAGACACGGACCAGACUCCUACGGGAGGCAGCAGUAAGGGAUAUUGGUCAAUGGGGGGAACCCUGAACCAGCCAAUGCCGCGUGAGGAAUAAGGCCCUACGGGUCGUAAACCUCUUUUGCCGGGGGAUAAGGACUUUCACGUGUGAGAGUUUGAAGGUACCCGGAGAAUAAGCAUCGGCUAACUCCGUGCCAGCCGCUGC
rnacentral:rRNA from 1 species